UAAUUUAUGAUUUGUUCUUCCCUUUUAGAUAUCUAGGGUUUAACAAAUUCUCUCACGUACUUCAUACUUGAUCUUCAAGCUCCUCAAAAAUUUUCAAUCGUUUCUGCGUUUCGAAACUUCAAAGCCAUGGCUCGUAACGAAGAGAAAGCUCAAUCGAUGCUGAAUCGAUUCAUCACCAUGAAAGAGCAGGAGAAGAAGAAACCGAAGGAGCGGCGUCCGUACCUCGCAUCCGAGUGCCGAGACUUGGCGGAAGCGGACAAAUGGCGCCAGCAGAUCCUGCGUGAGAUCGGCCGGAAGGUUGCUGAGAUCCAGAACGAAGGUCUCGGGGAGCACCGGCUUCGCGACCUCAAUGACGAGGUUAAUAAGCUCAUACGUGAGAAGUCGCACUGGGAGCGUCGCAUUGUCGAGCUCGGCGGUCCUAACUACACCAAACUCUCAGCUAAGAUGACGGAUCUAGAGGGCAACAUUGUCGACGUCCCUAACCCCAGUGGUCGUGGUCCCGGUUACCGGUACUUUGGAGCCGCUAAGAAACUCCCUGGUGUAAGAGAAUUGUUUGAGAAACCACCGGAGUUGCGUAAAAGAAGGACGAGAUACGAUAUUUAUAAGAGGAUUGAUGCUAGUUAUUACGGGUACAGAGACGAUGAGGAUGGAGUUCUCAAAAAAGUGGAGAAGCCAGCGGAGGAAAAGAUGAGGAAGGAAGCUGUGGAGGAGUGGCGGAGGAUGGAGGAGAUAAGGAAGGAGGCGAGGAAGGGAGUGAGUGAGGUGGUGACUGUGGGGCCUGCAGUGACGGAGCUGUUGGUAGAGGAGGAAGAAGACGUGGUGGAGGAGGAAAGGAUGAGGGAGAGGGAGGAGAAUGAGAGAAGAGAUAAGGAAAAGGAGUUUGUGGCACACGUGCCACUGCCAGACGAGAAGGAGAUUGAAAGAAUGGUGGUGGGGAAGAAGAAGAUGGAACUUCUGAGCAAGUAUGCUAGCGAGGAUUUGUUGGAGGAGCAGAGCGAGGCCAAGGCAAUGCUCAAUAUUCAGCGCUAAAAGGUGGAUUAUUGGUUCAUAGGUCACACACACGUUAAGCCAUGUCUGAGAGGCAUGAAGGCCACCACAACGGAUGGAAAACUAUCCAAAUCUCAAACCCCCCUGGUGAGAAUAGAACCCUGGACCUCAAGGUCUUGAGUAGAUAACCAAACCAACCAGGCUAUCUCCCAUUCUCUUAUGGUUACAUUUUGGUUUCGUGGUGAUUGCAAGGAUGCGAAAUUGGGGACUGGCUUUUUCUACAUCCUCUAUCGGAAUGAGAACGAACCGUUGCGGUCUCUUGCAUCAAAUUGUUGUCCCAGUUGCUCAAUAGCUCCACCAGGGUAAUUCACUUGGCACAGUUGGGUUUAAUGUUGUCAUCCAUUUUUCUUCAUGCCAAAUGUUCAUGUAGAAUGAGAAGUUGACAACUUGACAUCCUUAUGUAAAUAUGACACGAGACAAGGAGACUAAUAUUGAAAGCUUGUAUCAUUUGAUAUUGCUAUAAUAUGGCUUCCGGUCAAUGUUACCAGA